AAGAACUAAUAACUUGAAAAGUCAAAUGAGAGGGUAACGCCUUGAAGGGCUUUCUCUGAUACUCUGAAUAGCGGUUCUGUUAAUAAGAAUGGAACUGUUAUAAGCUCGGUGAAGUCGGCUGAGAUUACACCCUAAGGAGCGAUAGCUCUAGGAAAUGCGAACCAGAGGUGGUCGAGUGUAACAUAGGUCGGGAGUCUAUAAA
rfam:Clostridium sp. BL8 Contig208, whole genome shotgun sequence.